GGCCGGAAUGACCGAUUCAUGCGUAACCAGAAGAAGUGAGCAGGAAAGCUCCGCCAGAGAGGGUGACAGUCCCGUAUUCGAAAGUGAGAGUGACGGUUCCGGUACCUGAGUACUGCGAGACACGUGAAAUCUCGUGGGAAUCCGGGAGGACCAUCUCCUAAGGCUAAAUACUAACUGACGACCGAUAGUGUACCAGUACCGUGAGGGAAAGGUGAAAAGAACCCCUGUCAGGGGAGUGAAAGAGAAUCUGAAACCUGGUGCUUACAAGCUGUGGGAGCCGUACUUGUACGGUGACCAUGUGCCUUUUGCAUAAUGAGUCAGCGAGUUAAUCUGUACAGCAAGGUUAAGCGUAAGUGAAGCCGCAGCGAAAGCGAGUCCGAACAGGGCCACAGUUGUGCGGAUUAGACCCGAAACCGGGUGAUCUAUCCAUGAGCAGGUUGAAGCAAGGGUAAAGCCUUGUGGAGGACCGAACCAGUUCUGGCUGAAAACAGUUUGGAUGACUUGUGGAUAGGGGUGAAAGGCCAAUCAAACCCGGUGAUAGCUGGUUCUCCCCGAAAUAUAUUGAGGUAUAGCCUUGCGGAUUGUCUUAUGGAGGUAAAGCUCUGACAGAACUAGGGGUCCUAUCCGACUACCGAAUUCUUUCAAACUCUGAAUACCAUUAAGAUUUACCGCAGGAGUCAGACGGCGGGUGCUAAGGUUCGUCGUCAAAAGGGCAACAGCCCAGACCGACAGCUAAGGCCUCCAAAUGCAUGCUCAGUGGUUAAGGUGGUGGCGUUGUGCAGACACCCAGGACGUUGGCUUAGAAGCAGCCAUCGUUUAAAGAAAGCGUAAUAGCUCACUGGUUCAAUGGCGCUGCGCCGAAAAUGUAACGGGGCUAAGCAUGCUGCCGAAGCUUCGGAUUUGUCUCUGACAACUGGUAGGGGAGCGUUCUCUGCGGGCUGAAGCGGAACCGAAAGGUUUCGUGGACUGCAGAGAAGUGAUUAUGCUGACAUGAGUAACGAUAAAAUAUGUGAAAAACAUAUUCGCCGUAAAUCCAAGGUUUCCUGGGUAAAGGUAAUCUUCCCAGGGUUAGUCGGACCCUAAGGCCAGGCUGAAAGGCGUAGCUGAUGGGAAACGGGUUAAUAAUCCUGUACUUGUGCGAUUGUGCGAAGAAGGGACGCAGGAUGGUAGACAGGCCGGUUUUUGGAAUCCGGUGCAAGUGCGUAGGCGUGCUCCGCAGGCAAAUCCGCGGGGAUGAGCCGAGACACGAGUCCGUGGGCGUAAGCCCUGAAGCUGUUGAGCCACGGCUGCCAAGAAAAGCUUCUAAGUUUAGAUCGCGCGAACCGUACCGCAAACCAACUCAGGUGGAUGAGGAGAAAAUCCUAAGGCGCUCGAGAGAACUCUGGCCAAGGAACUCGGCAAAUUGACCCCGUACCUUCGGAAUAAGGGGUGCUCCCCAUGGUGAGACAGAUUCCUGUUCAGCCUCAGGGAGCCGCAGAGAAAUGGUGGUGGCGACUGUUUACUAAAAACAUAGGUCUGUGCGAAGUCCUACAGACGACGUAUACGGACUGACGCCUGCCCGGUGCCGGAAGGUUAAAAGGAGGAGUCAGCGCAAGCGAAGCUCCGAUUUGAAGCCCCGGUAAACGGCGGCCGUAACUAUAACGGUCCUAAGGUAGCGAAAUUCCUUGUCGGGCAAGUUCCGACCUGCACGAAUGGCGUAACGAUCUCCACGCUGUCUCGGCCAGAGACUCGGUGAAAUUGAAGUCGCGGUGAAAAUGCCGUGUACCCGCAGAAAGACGGAAAGACCCUGUGCACCUUUACUAUAGCUUGACAUUGGGUUUUGAACCUGCAUGUGUAGGAUAGGUGGGAGGCUGUGAAAGCUGUACGCCAGUAUGGCCGGAGCCACCCGUGAAAUACCACCCUUGUUUGUUCAGGACCCUAACUCGCAGCUGUAAUCCAGCGCGAAGACAGUGUCUGGUGGGUAGUUUGACUGGGGCGGUCGCCUCCUAAAGAGUAACGGAGGCAUGCAAAGGUUCCCUCAGGCUGAUUGGAAACCAGCCGUUGAGUGCAAGCGCAUAAGGGAGCCUGACUGCAAGAGAGACAUCUCGAACAGAUACGAAAGUAGGUGCUAGUGAUCCGGUGGUCCCGAAUGGAAGGGCCAUCGCUCAUUGGAUAAAAGGUACGCCGGGGAUAACAGGCUGAUCGCAUCCAAGAGUUCACAUCGACGAUGCGGUUUGGCACCUCGAUGUCGGCUCAUCACAUCC
rnacentral:rRNA from 1 species